rnacentral:rRNA from 1 species
GUAGUCUGCAACCCGACUACAUGAAGCUGGAAUCGCUAGUAAUCGCGAAUCAGAAUGUCGCGGUGAAUACGUUCCCGGGUCUUGUACACACCGCCCGUCACACCAUGGGAGUUGGAAAUGCCCGAAGUCAGUGACCCAACCGCAAGGAGGGAGCUGCCGAAGGCAGGUCCGGUAACUGGGGUGAAGUCGUAACAAGGUAAC